CUCUAGCUGAAUGACUGCUAAAGACCUUUCUCCACAUUGCUUACAAUCAGAGCUGUUACUUUCCAAAGUUAAUCACCUCAUAUUAAGAAAGGUCUGAGAUGUUUGGCAGUAUCUACCAUAGCUGAAAAAAACUUACAUACACCCUUGGACUGAGUAACUCAUCUUACUAUAAGAUCAACAGAAAUAUACAUACACACAUACACAGAAUAUUUAGAGCAGUAUUUUUAUUACAACACAAAUUUAUAAAAAUACAAACAUCCAUCAAGAGGAUAAAUAGUGGUAUAUUCUUAAAAUGGAAGAGUA